rnacentral:rRNA from 1 species
CCUACGGGAGGCUGCAGUGGGGAAUAUUGGACAAUGGGCGAAAGCCUGAUCCAGCCAUGCCGCGUGUGUGAAGAAGGCCUUCGGGUUGUAAAGCACUUUCAGUGGGGAAGAAAGCCUUGGGGCUAAUACCCUCGAGGAAGGACAUCACCCACAGAAGAAGCACCGGCUAACUCCGUGCCAGCAGCCGCGGUAAUACGGAGGGUGCGAGCGUUAAUCGGAAUUACUGGGCGUAAAGCGCGCGUAGGCGGUCUGAUAAGCCGGUUGUGAAAGCCCCGGGCUCAACCUGGGAACGGCAUCCGGAACUGUCAGGCUAGAGUGCAGGAGAGGAAGGUAGAAUUCCCGGUGUAGCGGUGAAAUGCGUAGAGAUCGGGAAGAAUACCAGUGGCGAAGGCAGCCUUCUGGACUGACACUGACGCUGAGGUGCGAAAGCGUGGGUAGCAAACAGGAUUAGAUACCCCUGUAGUC